GGGCCCGCACAAGCGGUGGAGCAUGUGGUUUAAUUCGAUGCAACGCGAAGAACCUUACCUACUCUUGACAUCCAGAGAACUUAGCAGAGAUGCUUUGGUGCCUUCGGGAACUCUGAGACAGGUGCUGCAUGGCUGUCGUCAGCUCGUGUUGUGAAAUGUUGGGUUAAGUCCCGCAACGAGCGCAACCCUUAUUGUUAGUUGCCAUCAUUCAGUUGGGCACUCUAGCAAGACUGCCGGUGACAAACCGGAGGAAGGUGGGG
rnacentral:rRNA from 1 species